AUUACUUCUAGUUACAUUAAAAACUUUAAUUAUAAUUAAUAAUUAUAUUAAUUACACAUUUGUACUCUGUGUAACUAUACAAAUGAGUAAUGGGUAUACAAGGAGAUGGGUAGACAAACCGGAAAUAUUCACACCUGCAAAAGUGCAGGGCACCCUUUUCUAUUACUGCAAGAAAAGCCUCGAGGGGUUUGGCAAACAUGACCUGCUAGGUUGCCAGCCAUUUAAAAAUAGUCAAGUUCAGAACCCCGGGAAAGCAGACGCAUCUUUAAUAGGGCAAAGAGAUAGCGCUUCGCUGAGGUCUGGUGCUGCCUGAGAAGCUGACAUCACCCAGUCUACUUUAGGGUAAACUUUUAACAAUGAAGGGACUGGUUUUCCUCCUAAAUUCUUUAUGCUGACAUGCUGACAUCUGUUUAUAGGGAGCACCAGUGUAAUUCACAUGGUCCAAAGCCUCAUGCUUUCUGUGGGCCCACUCAUCAGCCCCUCACUGCCUUCACAGCCAGCUUUCAAAGGCAACUACGGCUUUCUUACAAAGAGAGGCUUCUGGCGUUGUCACGAGAACACGGACCCAACAGCACAGGCUCUGCAUUCAAAUUCUGACUCGCCCGUUUAUUUGAGCAAGUUGCUUCAUUUCGCUAAGCCUCAAUUUCUUCAAACUGGAGAAAAGAACAGUGCUUAUCUCAUUAGGCUAUUUUGAAGAUUAAGCGAAAUAAAGCAAGAGAGUGUUCAGUGAGGUAUCCAGCACACCACAAGCCCUCAGUUAUCAUUAGCUAUGAUUAGUCUGUGUCUGUGUUAGGAAGCGCAGCGUUCUCUCCUCCGGGCUUUUCCAGUGACCUCAGGUAACGUGAUUUUCUUAAGCUGACUCUUGUGGGCUGGUACCUACUCUAGUCUUCAGGCCAGCUCCACACACGUGACUUUGAGCUGUUUCUCAGCUUCUACAAGUUCUCCCUCUCUCCCUCUCUCCCUCUCUCCCUCUCUCCCUCCCUCUCUCUCUCUCAGCCAGCCUGUAAAGCCGGAAGCACACAGCUCCCUCUGUGACUCAGAUCUCCUUCCCUCUGCUCAUACCACCAGAGAGAAAGGCUGUGUUGAAGCUCAAACAGGGACUUCUUGAUUUCUCCAAACCGAGAGGUGACUUUUCACCAUAUUCUUGGUAGAGCUGACCGUAGCUCACUGACCAAUAGCCAACUGGAUUUCCAAGAGCCGACGGGAACUGAGAAACUGCAGAGCUGUCACUCAGGCGUCUGGAGUUACCUGGAUUUUUACUCUUCCUGAGCCUUCAUUUUUCUAAUCUCCUUGCAUUCUCAACAUAUCUGAGCAUCCUGAUUGUAAAUUCCCUCUUUCGGCUUAAGCAAGCCCAUGUGAAUAUCUGUUGCAUAUAACCUAAAGAAUCCUAAUUUAUGAAUUAAAUUAAAAAAUUUAAAGAUAUUAAGCUUGUCAGCAAUAUGUUAGCCUUUUGUAUGUCUCUAAGCGUAUUAAAUACAGAAUUAGGAAGACAUUACAUUUUUUUCACUAUGAUACCCAUGCUGCUUGUUUCAACAGACAACAGGCAGGGUUAACUACUUUCAAAAUAUCAGGAAAGAAAACUUUCUUAAUCAGUGAGUUUCUAAAAGUAAUGAAGCAUAUUUAAAAAAAAAUCACACACACACAGCAUUUUAGAUUUCUUCAUUUUACUCACCAACAUUAUCUUCUUAUUAAAAUUACCGAAGUCUUUUGAAUUAAAAUAAUAGGAGUUUCUUGUGAUAUUCAAGCAAUUAGCAAUAUAUGUUAACUCUAGAAUUUCAAGUAACAAUAUGAUGUACCUUUGUAAAUAGGUAUCAUUUCUUCUGGCAACAGGUUUUAAGCAAAUUGAUGUACUGGGAAGGCACAGUAACUGCUUUUCCUCUUUGUAAUAUGUGUGUUAUGAAACUUAGCACUGAUAGACCUUCUCAGUUUCUUCUUUGACUAGUACGCAUACCUUUAAACGUACCAUGCACUUUUCUUAUUUCUGCACCUCUUUUAUGUUGUUGAUGCUGUUUAGAAUUCUAGCUCCACCUCUCCCUCUAAAGCUAAUUUGCAAGGAAAACUCAUACUUAUCCUGCGGUGCCCUACUUAAAUAUCACCACCUCCGAGAAGCAUUCUCUGUGCACCUUCUGUCCCUUCCUCUUUAAGCAGAAUCAAUCUUUACUUUCAAUUUAUUUUUCAUCGCGUCCUUUUGUAAAUACCUCUCAUGCUUUCGUGAUCUGCUCUAUUAGUCGUUUCAGGUCAGUCACUUGAAGUUACCCAUGAAUCCCUUUAUGGCAAGGAUUAUGUCUUGUUCAUCCUUGUGUCUUUCUAGCACAUUGGAUGGUUUCCAGCUGAUAAUUGACAUUCAG
ensembl:lncRNA